CCAGUGUUGUCUGCUUUUACAGUAAAGCCCAGGCUUUGAGCUCCACACAGCAGAAGUUUAGAAUUUAGGGUGAAUGUGGUCCGAUACAAAAAAGGGAACCGAAACAGAAGAGUGAGAGAAUUAAUAUACGUUGACAAAUGUACAGUUUUUCUUGCAAGGAACUCAAAAACACUUUACAAACGUUAAUUCAUGUUCUACAUACCUUAGAGCUAAAGAGGAAUUAUACCAAUUUUACAGAAGAAUAAACUGAGAUUCAGAGGAGUUGGAUGACUUGUUCAAGGCCACACAACUCAAUGAAAGAGGCAAAAAUAGAACACAAGAAUAUUAACUCCCAAUGUCCUGUUACAACUUCCA